rnacentral:rRNA from 1 species
UACGAAGGGGGCUAGCGUUGCUCGGAAUCACUGGGCGUAAAGGGUGCGUAGGCGGUCCUAUAAGUCAGUGGUGAAAUACUCUAGCUUAACUAGAGGGGUGCCAAUGAUACUGUAGGACUUGAGUACAGAUGAGGUAGGCGGAAUUGACGGUGUAGCGGUGAAAUGCAUAGAUAUCGUCAAGAACACCUAUAGCGAAGGCAGCUUACUGGGCUGUAACUGACGCUGAGGCACGAAAAGUGUGGGGGAUCAAACAGG